rnacentral:rRNA from 1 species
UGCGAGUCGACGAGAACGGGUAUUAGUUUACUAAUACUGUCAGCUAAGUGGCGCACGGGUGAGUAAUAUAUAGGUAACGUGCCCUAGAGAAGAGGAUAACAUCUGGAAACGGUUGCUAAGACUCUAUAUGCCUUUAAGACAUAAGUCUGCAAGGGAAAUAUUUAUAGCUCUAGGAUCGGCCUGUACGGUAUCAGCUUGUUGGUGAGGUAAUGGCUCACCAAGGCAAUGACACCUAACUGGUUUGAGAGGAUGAUCAGUCACACUGGAACUGAGACACGGUCCAGACUCCUACGGGAGGCAGCAGUGGGGAAUAUUGCACAAUGGACGAAAGUCUGAUGCAGCAACGCCGCGUGGAGGAUGACACAUUUCGGUGCGUAAACUCCUUUUAUAUAGGAAGAUAAUGACGGUACUAUAUGAAUAAGCGCCGGCUAACUCCGUGCCAGCAGCCGCGGUAAUACGGAGGGCGCAAGCGUUACUCGGAAUCACUGGGCGUAAAGAGCGUGUAGGCGGGUUAAUAAGUCAGAAGUGAAAUCCAAUAGCUCAACUAUUGAACUGCUUUUGAAACUGUUAGCCUAGAAUAUGGGAGAGGUAGAUGGAAUUUCCGGUGUAGGGGUAAAAUCCGUAGAGAUCAGAAGGAAUACCGAUUGCGAAGGCGAUCUACUGGAACAUUAUUGACGCUGAGACGCGAAAGCGUGGGGAGCAAACAG